rnacentral:rRNA from 1 species
CCUACGGGUGGCAGCAGUGGGGAAUAUUGCACAAUGGGCGAAAGCCUGAUGCAGCAACGCCGCGUGAAGGAAGAAGGCCUUCGGGUCGUAAACUUCUGUCCUUGGGGACGAAGAACUGACGGUACCCACGGAGGAAGCCCCGGCUAACUACGUGCCAGCAGCCGCGGUAAUACGUAGGGGGCAAGCGUUAUCCGGAUUUAUUGGGUUUAAAGUGUGCGUAGGCGGACUGUUAAGUCAGCGGUAAAAGCCCGGGGCUCAACCCCGGCGAGCCGUUGAAACUGGCUGUCUUGAGAUGUCGAGAGGUAUGCGGAAUGCGCAGUGUAGCGGUGAAAUGCUUAGAUAUUGCGCAGAACUCCGAUUGCGAAGGCAGCAUACCGGCGGCGAUCUGACGCUGAGGCACGAAAGCGUGGGUAUCGAACAGGAUUAGAUACCCGGGUAGUC